AUCAAGAAUCUAAUAUAAGUAUUCAUGUAGCGAUCACUAUAUUUGUAUAAUGCUGAUGCCGAAGUCGAGCAGACUCAUGGUCCUUGACUCUGCCGAUUUCCAACAAAAAUCCUACCAAGAUUUCAUUGACGUUAUACAGAGGUAAAGAAAAUCCCCCAUACUUAAAAUUCUUAUACAUUAUUUAUGAAUUGACAAUUACUUGUUGGCAUUCGAAUAGGGACUAAAAGUGGUACGUAACGAAAGGUGGGAUACACAAUACGGACAAGCCGGAUGCGAUGACGGUCCGUACACAUUUUCCGUGCCACAAGCAAGGUUUCAAUACCGUUCUUUGUGGAUACUAUGUUUGCGAAUUUCUUAGGAUAAACGGGAGGUACACAACGAACCCUGAGGACGCAAGGAUGAUCCAAUGUGCCAACCAAGCUCUCACCGACAAAGAAAUCCAAAACGUCCAAUGUGACAUGUGCCGGUUUAUUAUGCACGAAGUCAUCCACAAGAACGGUAGAUUCUUUGAUCGCGGAGGCGAAUUAGCUAGCCAUCCGAGACUUUGUGUUUGGGAGAGCGACUC